UAGUCCACACUGUAAACGAUGAUCACUCGAUAUUGGCCUUUAUGGUCAGUGUCCAAGCGAAAGUAUUAAGUGAUCCACCUGGGGAGUACGAUCGCAAGAUUGAAACUCAAAGGAAUUGACGGGGGCCCGCACAAGCGGUGGAGCAUGUGGUUUAAUUCGAUGAUACGCGAGGAACCUUACCAGGGUUUAAAUGCAGAACGACAGUUUGGGAAACCAUUCUUUCUUCGGACGGUCUGCAAGGUGCUGCAUGGUUGUCGUCAGCUCGUGCCGUGAGGUGUCGGGUUAAGUCCCAUAACGAGCGCAACCCCUAUUUCUAGUUGCCAGCGGGUAAUGCCGGGGACUCUAGAGAAACUGCCAGCGUAAGCUGAGAGGAAGGUGGGGAUGACGUCAAAUCAUCACGGCCCUUACAUCCUGGGCUACACACGUGCUACAAUGGUAGAGACAAUGAGCAGCCAACCGGCGACGGUGAGCUAAUCCUUAAACUCUAUCUCAGUUCGGAUUGG
rnacentral:rRNA from 1 species